rnacentral:lncRNA from 1 species
GCAAAGUAGAAUUAGAUAAAAUGGGCAUUUUUAUGCAUUAACACCAAUACAUUAAUAUUAUAAUCUCAUUGUUAAUAUGCAUCCAAAAUAAAUAAAUAAAAGAGUUUUUUAUUUUACCACAGAAGAAAUACAAGAAAAUUUAUUCUUGAUGUGGUCCCCACAUAGUUCCUCCAUCAUUUCACACACCCACAUCCAUUUGCCAUCUAUUUCUUUUCACAUCGUACCAUCCUGCAUAAACCUGCAAACAAAAAGCCAAAACUAAUAUGUGUUGCAAACAUGAAUUCAUACAUACCAUAUAUUACAUUCAAUUGAAUAAACAUCAAAGGAAACAUUAAUAAAAUUAAACAAUAAUGUUGCCAAACGCAUGAGUUACUCCAUACCACACGUCAAAUCAAUUAAAAGAGGGAAAUGACAAAUUGUUCAAAAUAAGUAAAACGAAUUUUCACAAAUCCAUAUUCAUCAUACACAACAUACCAUGCCAUCAACAUCCAAACUUCAUCACCGUGCCUUGUGAUAAACCACAAUCAAAACAUUGUUAUGCAUAACAGUCACCACUCCAUAUACAACAAAAAUCACCACAACAAAGCAUUUCGUAAAAAAUCCAAACACACAUCCAUCUACAUGUCAUGUGCAAAUCAAGGCAAAUCAAAAUAAUAAUCCAUCCCAACGAAUGUAGCUCAAGACACAUCAACAAUCAUGUUAACAUAUACAUACAUACAUCAUAGGUAAUUUUGGGACCACAAAACUCAUACACAACUCAACAACAUGAUUAACCAACCAACGGAAUCUAAUAUAUACUCAAAAAAAUCACAUGUGUCUUAGCAAUACAAAUCCUCUCAUCCUAUCCCCGAACUUCUCCUAUAAAAAAAGACCUAUGACUGAUUAAUAGGGAAGAGAAAAAAAACAUAUUGUUAC